GGCCCUGUAGUGUAGUGGUUAUCACUCGAGAUUUUGAGGAACAGCGAGUUGUCGUUAGCCACCUCUUCUCGUAACCCCGGUUCGAACCCGGGCAGGACCU